AGCACUGGUCCCUGCAGGUGGAGCCGGGCUUGGAGGUGUCUGGCCAACUGGGUGGGGGUGAGGCCGACCUCCCAGCUGCAAACACAAGGACACUGAGAUGCAAGGAAAGGAGAACCCACACUGGAGAAACUCAUGUUGCAGGGGCCUCUUCUCCCUCAGUUCCCGGCUUGGUGAUGGUGGAGGGUAAGAAAAUGGAUCCUCCCGCUACAACAUCAAACCAGGCCAAACGCGUAUUUUUCUCUUCCUUCCCUUUUCUUGUUUUGUAAUUGACAGCUCCUCAGGAGUACCAAUAAUGUCCUAGAAGGAAUAAAAUAAAGUUUCCGAAGGCUUUGUGACCCAGAGCCCUUUGCAGGUGUUCACGGAACACACAGGCUGCCUGGAGGCCUUGGCCCUCCAGGCAAACACCACCAGAAGUCCCCAGAUGCGGAACAGGCAGCAAGGAGCCUCCCCGAGAUCUCCCAGAGGGAGCACAGCCCUGCCAAAGUAUUGGUUUCGGACUUCUGGCUUCCAGAGCUACGAGAAAAUAAAUAUUUGUUAUUUAAGCCACCAGGUUUGUGGCGAUUUGUUAUGACAGCCUCAGGAAACUCCUGCAACAAGGAGCCCUCACUGCUGGCGCGAUCUGUCCGCACGAUCCGUCCGUGGUGUAAACACCAGCUCCGGAUGCUGUCCCAGGUGCUUGUGACCCUCUCUCCAAACAUCAGGAUUCAAAAUGUGUUAUCCACAAGGAUGACUCAGUUGCCCUGUGAAAAUUACUCCAGUAGAGAAGGUUCGUAGCUUGCAAUUUUGAUGAGGAAUUUAGCCAAAAUAUCGAAUCUAGAAAAAAAAAGUCAAUGACAGGCUUGAUGAUACUUGUUUUGACAGAGACAGAGACGCUAGGUCUGCCCUUUGUUGGAGAACAGCUUCGUCAGAUGUGGAUUUUACAAGCAAAAUGGAAGCUGCUUGUAUUAGGGGGAAGUGAAGGUUUUG
rnacentral:lncRNA from 1 species